rnacentral:rRNA from 1 species
UGGGGAAUUUUGGACAAUGGGGGCAACCCUGAUCCAGCCAUUCCGCGUGAGUGAAGAAGGCCUUCGGGUUGUAAAGCUCUUUCAGCAGGAACGAAACGGUCGGCUUUAAUAAAGUCGGCUAAUGACGGUACCUGCAGAAGAAGCACCGGCUAACUACGUGCCAGCAGCCGCGGUAAUACGUAGGGUGCGAGCGUUAAUCGGAAUUACUGGGCGUAAAGCGUGCGCAGGCGGCGACAUAAGACAGAUGUGAAAUCCCCGGGCUCAACCUGGGAACUGCGUUUGUGACUGUGUUGCUAGAGUGUAGCAGAGGGGGGUGGAAUUCCACGUGUAGCAGUGAAAUGCGUAGAGAUGUGGAGGAACACCGAUGGCGAAGGCAGCCCCCUGGGUUAACACUGACGCUCAUGCACGAAAGCGUGGGGAGCAAACAGGAUUAGAUACCCAAGUAGUCCCUGAGCGGGCUGGCAAGGCG